rnacentral:rRNA from 1 species
AUACGUAGGUGACAAGCGUUAUCCGGAUUUACUGGGCGUAAAGGGCGUGUAGGCGGUCUUGCAAGUCAGAAGUGAAAUUCCUGAGCUCAACUCGGGCGCUGCUUCUGAAACUGCAGGACUUGAGUGCUGGAGGGGAUAGCGGAAUUCCUAGUGGAGCGGUAAAAUGCGCAGAUAUUAGGAAGAACACCGGUGGCGAAGGCGGAUAUGUGGACAGUAACUGACGCGGAGGCGGAAAAGCGUGGGGAGCAAACAGAAUUAGAUCCCCUGUAGUCCACGCCGUAAUCGAUGAAUACUAGGUGUAGGGGGUAUCGACUCCCUCGGUGCCGCAGUUAACACAAUAAGUAUUCCGCCUGGGGAGUACGGCCGCAAGGUUGAAACUCAAAGGAAUUGACGGGG